CUCCAUGUCAAUAAUGGGCACUGAGCUUCCUCCGUGUAAUACUCCCAGGCCUGCAGCCAAAGGGGUUCGGGCACAGAUAGCUCAGGCCAACAAUGGGCACAGAUAGAGCAGGCCCGUCAAUAGGGCACAGACAUAGCAGGCCAGUCAAUGGGGCACAGACAUAGCAGGCCAGACGAAUGGGCACAGACAUAGCAGGCCAAACAAUGGGGCACAGGCAUAGCAGGCCAGUCAUAAGGGCACAGACAGAGCCGGCCAUACACAGGUGUUGCGUUCCGACGGUUGCAAGGGCCAAUCUGCAUGGCUAGAGUCCUCUAUGUAUGUGUUAUGGAAAACCAGAGAACCUGGGGUUAAAACUCCACUCCAUAAACCCAGGGUAGUAAUGUGCCUAUAAUACUAUGCAGGGAACUGGGAAACCCUGUAGCAGUCUAAAUCAGAGCUAUCCAAGCUGCAGGAAAGCUCAGAGCAGUACAUUGGGUACUGCCAAUAGGCUGG